AAGAUGAGAUUUCCCAUAGCGUAAGCUAGUAAGACCCCUUGAAGACUACAAGGUUGAUAGGUCAGAGGUGUAAGUGUGGCAACAUAUUUAGCUGACUGAUACUAAUAGGUCGAGGGCUUGACCAAU
rnacentral:rRNA from 1 species